rnacentral:rRNA from 1 species
UACGAAGGGGGCGAGCGUUGUUCGGAUUUACUGGGCGUAAAGGGCGCGUAGGCGGCCUUGUCAGUCAGGCGUGAAAGCCCCGGGCUCAACCUGGGAACGGCGCUUGGGACGGCGAGGCUGGAGUUCGGGAGAGGAGAGUGGAAUUCCCAGUGUAGAGGUGAAAUUCGUAGAUAUUGGGAGGAACACCAGUGGCGAAGGCGACUACCUGGCCUGUUCUUGACGCUGAGGCGCGAAAGCUAGGGGAGCAAACGGG